UAGCCUGUCGGGCUUCGAGGUGCUCUUGUCCGCAAGAGCUUGAAAGGGAACGCGGUGCGACACCGCGGCUGCCCCCGCAACUGUAAGCGGCAUCUUCAGCCUCUCCACAGAGCCUGUUCAUAAUGUGCUGCGCGUCGGUCAACUGCGUUGAAGAUGCUUUCGGAAUGCUCAUUUACCAUUCGUAAACUCGAGCGCGAGUCCGAUCCGCUUCCUUAAGUAUCUUCGCCUUGCUCGACUCUAGCUCGCGAAAUCAUGAACAAGCUCUAAGGCCACUGCUCACGCGGGAAGGCCGGAGUCGGGCGCCGUGAGCCAGGAGACCUGCCUCGCUAGUUUUCCAUAC
rnacentral:ncRNA from 1 species